AAGUCGUAACAAGGUUUCCGUAGGUGAACCUGCGGAAGGAUCAUUACCGUAGGGGCGUAACACCCCCUUCGAGAUAGCACCCUUGAUUUUCGAGCACCUUCUGUUUCUUCGGCGGGCCCGCCCGCCGGUGGACAACCUCAAACCCUUUAUUGCAAUAGCAGUACUCUGAUAAACAAAACAAAUAAUCAAAACUUUCAACAACGGAUCUCUUGGUUCUGGCAUCGAUGAAGAACGCAGCGAAAUGCGAUAAGUAGUGUGAAUUGCAGAAUUCAGUGAAUCAUCGAAUCUUUGAACGCACAUUGCGCCCUUUGGUAUUCCUUAGGGCAUGCCUGUUCGAGCGUCAUUUCAAACUUCAAGCCCCCCCUUUAGCUUGGUGUUGGGCGUCUGUCCUCCCCCCGGGACUCGCCUCAAAUGCAUUGGCAGCCGGCACGUUGGCUUCGAGCGCAGCAGAAACGCGCGCGGCGUCCGACGGUGCCUGGCUCUCCAGGAAGCCUCCACCUC
rnacentral:misc_RNA from 1 species